rnacentral:lncRNA from 1 species
AUAAAAAAUAUCUGUAGACAUGUGAUUUUUGACCCUCCCAAGAUUUUUCAUAUUUUAGCACGUAAAUAUUUAAUUUAGGCCUAAUAUAUCUAUUUCAACUAAUUUUGACUCUUUUACUUUAUUUUAUUACAAAAAAACGAAAAUUACAAAAAAUUAGUUUCAUUAAGGUUUUGUAGUCAUUUUUAAUCUUGAAAAAAUACCAAAAAAUAGUUUUGUUUUAACGGGCAGUCUUAUUUUAAUAAUUAUUUUUAAUUAAGUAGGGUUAGUUAAUAUUUUUUGUAAUAUUUCUAUAUGGAUAGAUUUUUAGUUAAUUAAGCUAACUUUAAGAAAAACUAGUCAUAAAGGCCCAUAAUUCCCAAGCCCAUAAUUCCUAGGCCCAUACCCCUUAACCUAGAAAACCCUACAAAUACCUAGACCCCUAAAGCGAAGAGGAGGAGCUGAAAAAGAUGAAGAAAAGAUCUGAAGCGCCGUAGAUCAGGACCUUUCCCCCUUUUUGUGAGCGUCUUCUUCAACGAAGAGAUCACCAAACGACCCCCAUACUUCAUCUUCUUCGUUACCCUCACACAAACGACCACCUCUCACGUCGAACACACAACAACCAUCGACUCUGAAUCUUCACCAACCAAAACAAUCUUCACCCAACCUCCUCAUAACACCAGCGACUCAACCAAGCUCGCCGGAAAACAACCCAUAACAUCAGCGACAUCCUUCAACAGCCUUCAACGACCAAACACACACAUGGAUAGAGCAGCAACAAGAGGUCACUAAAACGGAGUGAGAGAUAGACGGAGGAAAAGCGAGGCAGUACGGUUAAAGUUCGGUGAUGUUCUGUCGAGGUUGUCGUUCGAAGUGACUAUCGCGUUUCGUUGUUGGGUUUUGUCUUCGUUAAUCAACUUUAAAGGAUUUUGAUAGUGAGGUCAAUUCUUAUAAAUUCUCUUUCUGAUUUUACUGCUCUUACAUGUCCAUCCAUGGCUUAGUUGAAAUAAAUUGGUCUAGUCUUGUUUAUCUCGCUAUUUACCUCUCGUUUCUUCUAGUUUAUCGCUUGAUUUAAUAAUAUGAAUCUGAAAUUACAUGUUUUGAAUACUAUAUUUGUUGUUGAUUAUUUGGACGCUUGAAUCUCGUCAUCUAGUUGGGAAUGAUUGGGUGAUAAUUCUUGUUUGUUGGUUAAUAAGGAAUUGGAGUAUGAUAAAUUAGUGAUAUGAAAUUUAAGAACUGGGCCGUGGGUUUGGAGUAAAGACUUGGAUCAUUUAGUGUUAAUUUGCUUAUUUAGGAGUUGAGGUUGGUUUAGAUACAUGAAAUAAAUAAAUAACAAAAACUGAGCGUGCGUUGAAUUUUUCCUACUUGAUUCUCUUUUACUUUUGCUCUUGCUUUUACUUAAUCACUCGUUAGUAACAUGAUUAGGCCAUUAAUGUUCAUAAACAUCGUAGCUUGAUUUUGACACGCAGUAAAACCAUCAUAACUACGGGUACGGUUCCCGUAGCGUAGUUGUGAUACCUAAUUAGUUUUUAAAUAUGAAUAUCCAUAGUUCAUAUAGUUGAAUAGUUUUGAGGCUUACCAUUCAUACAUUUGAAUCAUAUAAUCCAUGGUCCUCGUAUCAAUUAUCUUAACUAGUGUAAAAUAAAAUGUCUUGAAUUUUCGUAGUCGGCUUUAGGCGCGUUAAUUAAAUAAAUUGUCAUAGCUACGGGUACGGUUCCCGUGACGUAGUUGUGAUGCCUAAUUUCUAAAUCCGGGUGUACACUAAUGUGACCCUGCCACAAUUUAAUCUUUUUAAAUAAAAUAAAUACGUUGUGAAUCGUGGGUACGAUUCCCGUGACAUUAUUCAUAAACGUGUAAUCAAUAAUUAGUGGUAUAACAAUUGGAUUAUUAAAAGUGGUUUAAAAGGAAUAAAAUGCACAUAGGUUUCAAGAGUGUAUUAAAAUCAGAUAAUAGGGCAAUUAUAACAGUUGAGCGACCAUGCUAGAACCACAAAACCCGGGAAUGCCUAACACCUUCUCCCGGGUUAACAGAAUUCCUUACCCAGAUUUCUGUGUUCGCGGACUGUAAUACAGAGUCAAUCUUUUUCUCGAUUUGGGAUUUGAACCGGUGACUAGGGACACCAUAAUUAUCCCAAGUGGAGACUCUGAAUUUUAAUAAAAAUGAUCCCGUUUCGAUUGUCACUUUAAGUUGAAAAAAACUCCCUUAUACCCACCUUACGGGGGUAGGAAAAAGGAGGUGUGACAGCUCUGGCGACUCUGCUGGGGAUGGAACCCAGAAUUUCUGAUUUAGGGUUCAAGAAUUUGAGCUUAGAAUAAUCAUUAUAUUUGGCUUUAUUUAUUAUCUGAUUUUAUUUAUAUAUUUGGGCCUAAUGUGCUAAAUGUUGCAUUUUACUACCUUGAUAUUAUCUGAAUUGUAUAUAUAAACUGCUACGAAACCCCUCUCUUCUCUCUCCUGAGGAGUGCACGCUGGCGUGACUUCUAUCUGUUAGUGUCAUAUUCCAAAUAGAACGAGGUUCGGAUAAGUUGCAAAGCUGGAUGAUCUUUUGGUUACCGGUGCGCAACCCCCCUUCUCUUGGCUCGAGUUGUCCGCUCGGGUAAGCCAGGUCUAGAACAAUAAACUUAGGUUCUAAACCUAGUAUAACAAUGUCUCAUGCCGGAACCCUAGUAGGAACGCUUAUCUGCAUCAUGUGCAUUUGACUUUGAAGACUCAACACAGGGGUUGGGUCUGUCUAGGACAGGUGCACCCAAAAUAAUAGACCAUCUUGAUGUAUCCUAUGUGCUACAUGUUGCAUUUAUUCAAGGGUAAAAGGGUCAUUUGGUGGACCAAUGAUAGUUGAGGGCAAAUGAAAAAUGAAAAAAAAAAGAAAAGCAGAGGGUGAAGUGUGAAGAUAAAGCGAGUAGGGCCCAAUUAUGCUUCCUCUCACAUUUUGUUAAGGAAAAAAGAGCUUGAAAAUUCAAAAAAAAAACAAAAGAAAAAAAAAAGAUUUUGCACUUUUUCAUCAUUCUCCGUAAAUAAGAAAAUCAAAAAAAAAGAAAAAAUCAAAAAAAAAGGUUACAUGUCUCAUCAUUUUUCAAAAAAGACAAAAAAAUAUGUUUUCUCUAAAUUAGUUGUUUUUUUUAUUUCUCGCCCGUAUCCAAUCUGCCCGAAAUACGCAUACUUGAUUCUCGUCUUUCGGGGCAUGAUACGUAGGCAACCCACAUAGGGUCCGAUCUUCCUAGUGAAUCUUAGGUUCUUGGCUUUACGAGGUCUUAGCCAAUGCUUGCAUUUUUAGCCACAUAGGUUAAUUUUAGAAAAAUAACCGCAACCAUGUCUUGCAUGUGUCUAGUAGGGAAUGUUAUUGUCUCACAUAGUGUUGGUUUAAGUUUUCCCAUACUUCUACUUACCGGAGUUUGAGCAUGACAGAUACCCCAGGAUCACUGCAUUCAGGAGCUGCUCUAGGAGCCAUUUUAAUAUCUUUGAG